UUGCUUGUUUGGGCAGCAGUCAUGCUAAAAUUGGAACGAUACAGGAAAGAUUAGCAUGGCCCCUGUACAAGUUUGACAUACAAAUUUGUGAAGCAUUCUGCGGGUGU
rnacentral:snRNA from 1 species